rnacentral:antisense_RNA from 1 species
GCAGAAGCCCGGGAGGCCUUUCGCCCGAGGCGGGCUGCGGGCUGCGGGGGUCUGGUGCGGAGGGCCAACUUAUGGGAAUAACCUGGCUGUGGGCUUAAAAAUCGUAGUCAUUCAUUAUCACGGGCUUCUCUUUCUCGAAUACCUUUAACAUUUAUCGCCUUGUUAGUCUCCACAUCCACCUCCGUGAAAGAGAUGGAGUCUCGCUAUAUUUCCCAGUCUGGCCUCAAACUCCUGAUCUUAAGGGAUCCCCAGCUCAACCUCUCCCAGCAGCUGGGACUACAGGGCUGUCAAGUUUACAUUAACUAUGAGAAUUAAGCAGAAAUUCUCAAGAGUCUCUUUGGAGGCUUACCAAGGACAUCCAGCUGCACGGUGAAGGUGGCUUCUCCUGCUCUAUUCUUGGCAACACAUGCAUAAGCCCCUGCAUCUGAAGCUCUGACUACUUCAAAGAUAAGUGAAUGAAGACCCUUCUCAGACACUAUCAUUUUGUGCAAAUCAUCUGAUUGAACUGGUCUUCCAUUUAGAUACCAUGACACAUCAGGAGCUGGCAGUCCGCUCACCUAGAAAGAAAAACACAAGGAGAUGGCAGAAUUUUAAAGUAUUGCAUCACUGAAACCUAUUUGUCCAUAUAUGAAUUUAAACAGUUCCCAUAUCUGAGUGGGUUUGUGAUUGAAAUGCAAAGCAAGAGCUCAAAAGGUAUUUAUAAUUUUUUAAACAAAACAUUGGAAAUUAAGAUCCUUGAAAUUAAUAUAGUAUUUUUAGACUGUCUCAAACCAUAACUCUUUUACAUGCAACCUCAGUCUCUUUAUGAACUCUUAAUUACUAUAUGUAGAACAUUAAUUUAUGUUACAUUGGUUUCCAUAAGGAAUAUAGAAGUCAUAUUGCUUUUCUGGCUAAAUGUGACUGCAAAUGAAGUCCCAGAGGCACAUAUAUUUGAGGCUUGCUGAUCUAAUGAGUAAUUUUUCUAAAACAGAGUGUUCUUGAGCUAUAGUUUGGCAUAUAAAUGGCAAUUUGUUAAGUGUUUUUACAUAAACUGUUAACAAUGGAAUCCAAAGCUUUAACACUAACUUGAGUUCAUAAGGAAUCUGGAAAAAAAUUUUUAUAAGGAAAAGUUCUCCAAAAUAAGGAUAAUAAAAAUAUAACCUCUUCUAAAGA